CUGCAGAGAGGCUAGGGGCUCAAAAGGACUCAGAGCUCAGUGCUGGCACAGGCAGUCUCUACUUGGUAUGAAGCACUCUAUUCCAUCACCACCACUAGCUCACUUCCCUAAUGCACUUUGGAUCAUGUUUGGGAUGGAUCCUGUCUAUGCAGACGGUUCUUUCUGGUGUGCAGAAGUACAGAUGGAGCCUGGCAGUAGUCUGGAAGCCUGACUUUGACCUUGAGUCUGGAAUUGACAUUCUUACAGCUUUAAGAAAUUGCUUAACCUAUCUGAGCCCUAGAUCCUCAGUUAUUUCUAAAACAAGGGGUUUUGGCUACAUGCAUUCUAAGAUUCUUUUGAGUUCUGUGAUUUUAUAGUUUUCAUGAGAAAACUUAAGACACUUCUUACUAUUGAAAUAUUCACCUUUGUGCUUUUCACGUAGUGACAAGUUCUAGAAGAGCAAUGUUGACAUCAAUUGUCUUAACGGUUCAAUGGGAACUUGAAAGCUACAUCAGGAUAUUUUUAUUACAAUAACAGUGAUUCCUGAGCCUUCAUUCUUGAAGGAUUAUAACAAUACUCUAAUUUUGAGGCUGGACAGUUAUUGUAUUCUAUAUUUAUAUCAAUUAUGCCUUUAAUAUAAUCUAAUUUAAAGUAAUUUAAAGAUUCCUAGAGAGAGAGUCUGAACUUUCCUCAAUCUACGAUGGAAAUGAUCAUAUAGGUUUCUUUAAAACGCUGGUUGAAUUUUGUUUUGACAUUUACCAUGUUAAGAUUCAUACAUCUUACCUUACUAUAACCUAAAAUACUAAGUUGUAAAUUGGGAUCAAGUGUGAGUGAGGAUGCCUGACAACC
rnacentral:lncRNA from 1 species